GCUCUCAUAGUUCAACAGGAUAGAACAGCUGCCUCCUAAGCGGCCGAUCCAGGUUCGAGUCCUGGUGGGAGCGCCA
rnacentral:tRNA from 1 species